UACAGAGACUGCAAGCGUUAUUCGGAUUCACUGGGCGUAAAGGGUGCGCAGGCGGCCGUGUGUGUGAGGCGUGAAAGCCCGGAGCUCAACUCCGGAAUUGCACCUCAAACUACACGGCUAGAGCAUUGGAGAGGGUAGCGGAAUUCACGGUGUAGCAGUGAAAUGCGUAGAUAUCGUGAGGAACACCAGAGGCGAAGGCGGCUACCUGGACAAUUGCUGACGCUCAGGCACGAAAGCGUGGGGAGCAAAAGGG
rnacentral:rRNA from 1 species